rnacentral:lncRNA from 1 species
CGGCCAACACAAAGACAAAAUGGAGUAGCACAUUUCCAUAGCGACCAACAGAGAUAGAUAAAUAGAUAGAUAAAUAGACCGGCACGAAGGCAUGGCACAGGCAUGGAUAUAGAUAAAUCAUGUAACAAGUGCAUGACGUGGAUAGGUGAGCAAAUGGUCAUGCAGAUAGAUCAUAAUGCAUACAUGAGCAAGAUACAUGGCAUGUAUGAUAUCGAAAUGAAGGGCAAGGGUUUUGCCAACGUCGGAGACGAUGUCGGCUAGGUUUAAGG